GCCUCUCUCUCUACUCCCUCGAAUCUCCUCCGACCGUGGCCGAGCAGCAGCGGCACUACCGCCGUGCCCUGCCUCCCACCUCUCAUCUCUUUGUCACCGACAGCAGCCACGGCAAUAGCAGUAGCUGAUCGGCCCGCCACCUCCCUUUCUCUCUCUGGAUCGACGGGCAGCAGCUAAGCCGCCUUACCCUCCCUUUUUCUGAACUCCGGCGACCAGGAAAAGGUCCGCCUUGUUGUUGCCCUCCGGAGUCGGUGGGUUCGAGCCGUGCUCUGCCGCUGCUGGGUUCUGGAGGAGGAGGGUACGCCGCCUGCUGCUGUUACUGGAAGGCCGGCUUCGCCGUGCCGCUGCACUCCAGAAUCGGCGAGAUUCGCCGCUGAGGUCGGGAGUCUUCUACCUUUCACCGCUCGACGCCGCCGCCUGGGAGCGCCGCCAGCCGCUGUUGUUAACAGCAAGAGUCCGGCAGCCGUCUCUUCCGGAGCCGCCGUCGCUGUGAGUCGCAGAGCUCCGACAGUCCAGUACCACUCAUCCUAAAGCUAAGUUCUCUAGUCUCGUUUGUUUUCGUUGCGUGGUUGGAUUUCGAUGGGUGGAACAAGAUGGUGGAGUGGAGAGCUAAGUGGAGGAUGAGGGAAUUAUUGGUGUUCUUGGAUGGAGUCGACUAAGUGGAAGAAUUAUUGUAGUGGCUUGUCAAAUAUAAUGCUUACAAAAUGUAAUGGUGACAAAAUAAGUGCUUGACAAAUUUUAGUGGUGUAAAUAAGUGGGAAACAAAGGUUUAUGGAAAGAAAAAGAAAUAAUAAAAAAAAAUGUAAAGAAGAAUUAAUGAUGUAUUUUCUAUGUCUCGAUGAUUCUGUAACUGUGAUAAAAUACUGGCUUCGAUUC